UACGUAGGCCGCGAGCGUUGUUCGGAAUUAUUGGGCGUAAAGAGUGUGUAGGCGGUGCUCUAAGUCUGUCGUGAAAUCUUCCGGCUUAACUGGGAGGGGGCGGCGGAAACUGGAAUGCUAGAGGGUGGGAGAGGAAAGCGGAAUUCCUGGUGUAGCGGUGAAAUGCGUAGAUAUCAGGAGGAACACCUGCGGUGUAGACAGCCUGCUGGACCACUUCUGACGCUGAGACACGAAAGCGUGGGUAGCAAACAGG
rnacentral:rRNA from 1 species